rnacentral:rRNA from 1 species
CCCUUAGAUGUUCUGGGCCGCACGCGCGCUACACUGAUGCAUUCAACGAGCCUAGCCUUGACCGAGAGGUCCGGGUAAUCUUUGAAACUGCAUCGUGAUGGGGCUAGAUUAUUGCAAUUAUUAAUCUUCAACGAGGAAUGCCUAGUAAGCGUGAUUCAUCAAAUCGCGUUGAUUACGUCCCUGCCCUUUAUACACACCGCCCGUCGCUCCUACCGAUUGAGUGUGUUGGUGAGGAGUUUGGAUUGGCCUCGGAAGGUGGUUCGCCACCGUCCGUAGCUGAGAAGUUCUCCAAACCGCCCCACUUAGAGGAAGGAGAAGUCGUAACA